AAAACAUGUUAUUCCACUCAAGUUCAAUCUCAGACAUCUGAACCUCAGGCUAGGAGCCAAGGACACACAAACAGAAACAAGAGUAGGGAAAAGAUAAAAAUAAAAGUAAAAUUGUUGCCUCCACCUUAGCCCAUCAGAUCUGUAGAACUUGUGAUAGACUAGUUAGAGGACUCGACUUUGAGAUAAGCUGUAUUUCAGGGAAUGUCUUCCAGGUCCCUGAAAGUGGCAUAAGGGCUAUUCAAUUGCAUGUCACUGAGCAUUUGCCGUAGUUCAGAGGCUUCUUCUUUGAGUUGAGCAUUUUCUUCAAGAACCCGGUCGUGACACUCAGAGACAUGGUUCAACUUAUCUAUGAGCUGGUGAUUCUCAUUUCUGAGCCAAACCACCUGUGACCAGAGUUCAUCUAGGUGUUUCUGCUUCCGCAUGCGUGACCGGCGAGCAGACUCUCUAUUAGAUAUCAUCCUUCUUUGUUUCCUCUCAUUGAUAAGGGAGAGUUGUUGCUCAUCUGCUUCAUCAGAAGUUGAGUUGUUG
rnacentral:misc_RNA from 1 species